rnacentral:tRNA from 2 species
GUCCUCGUCGUUCAAUGGAUAGGACACUGGCCUGCGAAGCCGGAAAUUUAGGUUCGACUCCUAACGAGGACACGA